GUUGGGUGUGGUGGCGCACGCCUCUAGUCCCAGCUACUUGGGAGGCUGAGGCAGGAAGAUCGCUUGAGACUGGGAUUUCAGGGAUGCAGUGAGCUAUGAUCGCACCACUGCAGUCCAGCCUGGGUGACAAAGCAAUACCCUGUCUCAA
ensembl:misc_RNA Metazoa_SRP Metazoan signal recognition particle RNA